UACAGAGGGGGCAAGCGUUGUUCGGAAUUAUUGGGCGUAAAGGGCGCGUAGGCGGUGCGGUAAGUCACUUGUGAAAUCUCUGGGCUCAACUCAGAGUCUGCAAGCGAAACUGCCGUGCUUGAGUGUCGGAGAGGUAAGUGGAAUUCCCGGUGUAGCGGUGAAAUGCGUAGAUAUCGGGAGAAACACCUGUGGCGAAAGCGGCUUACUAGACGACAACUGACGCUGAGGCGCGAAAGCUAGGGGAGCAAACAGG
rnacentral:rRNA from 1 species